GGAGGGUUACCCAAGUGGUCGAAGGGGACUCAUUGCUAACGAGUUAGUCCGGGGCAACCUGGAGCGAGGGUUCAAAUCCCUCACCCUCCGCCA
rnacentral:tRNA from 1 species